UGCUUACUGAAUGUUUGGUAUUACCACUGUGACUUUCAUUUAGUAUCAGUAUAGAACAUAUCAUUUAAUCAGAUUUGAGCUUGUUCAUAAUAUGUCUGUUACGUAUGCUUGAUUGUCAUGAUUGUGGGAGGAUAUAUAUUAAUUUACAUCACAGGAUAAAAAUCAGGGUAUCACAAUGCAUCAAUACAUCAUGAACUUAACCAGAUGAAUUAAUACUCUUUACAGCUACCCAUGUGUUAAUUCAUGUUUUAAUUCUUACAAAAUUUUAGAAGAUAUUGUUAACUUAAUUUGGUUAUAACUUGAAAACUACUUAUUGUUACUUACCCUUGUCAAGAAUUUUUUUAUUAAAUCUUACUUCUAAAAAAGUAUAAGAAUAACCUUGAUUUACAAUUAAUGUUAUACAAAAUGGUCUAAUCUAACAAAACCUAGUAUAAAGUCGCGGCAGCUAACCUUUGAGCCACCAUCCAAUCAAAUGCGAGAUGGAUGAACGGAUUUAACCAAUCUGACAAUGGCUGCUGUUUAGGGUUCGUCAACAAACGAAAAUCAGGAUAAAACACAGAUAUUUGACCUGCAGUAAUACGCGUAGGGCUUUCUGAUGACAUUUUUAUCAUUUGGAAUCGUUCGGGUACAACCUUUUUCGAGGUAAAAGUUCAAAAGGCAUCUGCAAAUGUCAACUUUCUCAUUUUGGUAAGCUGUGUCCUGAUUGGUCAAUUGAAAAGGUUAGCUGACGCGACCUUCUACUAGGGUUUGUUAGACUCAGUAUAAGCAGUGUAACAAAUAUUACUGAGCCUAAGUUUACUUAGGCUGGUUGUUUUGGCGCAUUAAUUUGUCAUUUGUUUCAACCUGUGUCACAGUUGGGGUAACCUAGUGGUUAAAGCGUUCGCUUGUCACACCGAAGACCCGAGUUUGAUUCCCCAGAUGGGUACAAUGUGUGAAGCCCAUUUCUGGUUUUAUUAUCUACAGAGUGUCAUAAACUACUGUUGUUUUUCUAUUGUUAUCUACGUGUUAUACCAAUAAGUAUUGGGGAAAUAACAUCACAUGUAUUGCCUUUUACAUUUUAAAGUGGCAGUGGGGUGGUCUAGUGGUUAAAGUGUUUGCUCGUCACGCUGAAGACCCAGGUUCGAUUCCCUACAUCGGUACAAUGUGUGAAGCCCAUUUCUGGUGUCCCCACCGUGAUAUUGCUGGAAUAUUGCUAAAAGCGAUGUAAAACUCAUUCACUAACUCAUAUAUUUUUUACCGCUUUUUGGCUUUUAAGUCCAGGCAAUUGUGUAGGUCGAUGCUCAUGCUGUUGAUCACUGGAUUGUCUGGUCCAGACACAAUUAUUUACAGGCCGCUGCCAUAUAGCUGGAAUAUUGCUAAAAGCGGCAUUAAACUAAGUUCACUCACUCACUCGACAUGGAAUUAAUUCUAUCCAGAACAAAUAUUGCCAGUAUUAAUGUAUCAUGGAAAGACUUUCUCAUAAAAACUCCACCAUGGGAAUAAUUCUCCUUGAGGAAUAUAGUACAUUGGAACAAUUUCACUAUUGGAAUAUAAAUUCCUGCACUGAAAUUGUUCCUUAGUACUAAAUCAUUACUGACAUACUGUUAGUGAUCAUGUAUUCAGCAUAAUAUUCUGUGUAACAAGCUGUAGGGAAUGGCGCAGAAGUCGUAGUGUUAGUCUCGCAGCCGUAUUGUCAUGGAUACUGAUUUUUCAUGCAUCUUAUCGAAAUAUAACAUGGAUAUACAGGGUAUAAGUUUUAUUAAUGAUGGUUACUUAGGAUUUGUAAGAUUUGUAUUUUCAUUUCAACAUUUCAUGUUUAACAUAUAUUUCCUGGUAUCCAACAUUUCUGAAAUGCUGAACUGCAAAUUAGUUCUAUCAGAAAACUGUUCUGUAACCCAGUGUCGUAUAUCAAAGUUAUGCCAUGCAAACAGAAAUUAUACCUCAUUUAUGAUACAUUGUCAGUAUGCCUGGUUACAUAUUUGACCAGUUAUUAUCUGCAAAGAAAAAAAUACAUCCAAAUUAUGUUUGUUUAAACUUCGUUGUUCAUAUCCAGAUGGUGCAGUGUGUAUGAUACGUAACGUGAAUAAAAGGCUGACCAAAGAGGA